AAGAAUUGCUAGUCCGGGAUUCUGCAUCUUUAAUAAGCUCCUCCCCACCCCACCCCGACCAGCCCAUCACCAUAGUGAUUCUGUUGCACUCACAACUUUAGGAAUCAAAGAUGAUUGGCCCAGUGAGUGAAGCCUGGCUCUGUUCUUGGCUGGCUCUGUGACUGAUGAUGGUUCCUGCUCUUCACCUCCAUUCUUUCACCUGUAACGUGGGCGUUUCUCUCAGUCAUAGUGGAGAAUUACAAGGCUCCUCCUUCUUCCUCCCUGCUUCUGGACUCUGACUGCCUGCCAGAUGCACCAGGUGACAGGGAGAAAGAGCCACUGUGACAAAUGGCACCAGGCAAGCCCCCAGCGCCAGCUAUCCAGGACUUGAGAACAAGCCACUGCGCCUUAGUUUCUGUGGAAAAAAACGAAAGAUGGUGAAGCUUCACCCGCCAUGCUCCUCUGGUCUCUGCCGCUGCCCUGCAC